rnacentral:rRNA from 1 species
UACAGAGGGUGCGAGCGUUAAUCGGAAUUACUGGGCGUAAAGCGCGCGUAGGCGGCUUUGCAAGUCGGGUGUGAAAUCCCCAGGCUUAACCUGGGAACUGCAUUCGAGACUGCAUUGCUAGAGUAUGGGAGAGGGAAGUGGAAUUCCGGUGUAGCGGUGAAAUGCGCAGAUAUCGGGAGGAACACCAGUGGCGAAGGCGGCACUCUGGGCCGGAACUGACGCUGAGGAGCGAAAGCGUGGGUAGCAAACAGG